rnacentral:rRNA from 1 species
AGUGGGGAAUAUUGCGCAAUGGGCGAAAGCCUGACGCAGCAACGCCGCGUGCGGGAUGAAGGCCUUCGGGUUGUAAACCGCUUUCAGCAGGGAAGAAGCCGCAAGGUGACGGUACCUGCAGAAGAAGCACCGGCUAACUACGUGCCAGCAGCCGCGGUAAUACGUAGGGUGCAAGCGUUGUCCGGAUUUAUUGGGCGUAAAGAGCUCGUAGGCGGUCUGUUACGUCGGUUGUGAAAAUCCGAGGCUUAACCUCGGACCUGCAUCCGAUACGGGCAGACUUGAGUGUGGUAGGGGAGACUGGAAUUCCUGGUGUAGCGGUGAAAUGCGCAGAUAUCAGGAGGAACACCGAUGGCGAAGGCAGGUCUCUGGGCCACAACUGACGCUGAGGAGCGAAAGCGUGGGGAGCAAA